rnacentral:snoRNA from 1 species
CACAGCCUCAUCAAACUCAGUGCCCGCCUCUGCCGUGGUGGGGACCGGCCCAAGGGCUGCCAUGGUGAUCUCGGCUCCACGUCCCUGCCGUGGGACACCAGGGGGAUCAAAAUAGGUUGCAGACACUC